rnacentral:rRNA from 1 species
UACAGGGGGGGCAAGUGUUGUUCGGAAUUACUGGGCGUAAAGGGUCAGUAGGCGGCCAACUAAGUCCGACGUGAAAUCCCAAAGCUUAACUUUGGAACUGCGUCGGAUACUGGAUGGCUUGAAUUCGGGAGAGGGAUGCAGAAUUCCAGGUGUAGCGGUGAAAUGCGUAGAUAUCUGGAGGAAUACCGGUGGCGAAGGCGGCAUCCUGGACCGGUAUUGACGCUGAGGCGCGAAAGCCAGGGGAGCAAACGGG